rnacentral:lncRNA from 1 species
UCCUUGCCUCUAAGCUCAUCUCAAGGCAGUGACUGCCCUUUUCCUUUGCCCCUUUCCCCCUUUUCUUCUGUAUUUCCAGGUCAUCUUUACACAGAAAUGUCUCCAUCCUCUCCCCUGAACCUCCGGCAGCAUCUUCUCCCAGUUACUGCUACUUCACUAACUCCAGUUUGUAAGAUGCGUGGAUGCUCAAUCUCUCUUCACCACAGGCACCACCCUGAUCUAAACCCCUGCCCUGUCUCAUCUCAGCAGUUAUCCCUUCCAGUCUGCCAGCCUGGGUAGCCUGAGGGUCUCACCCCACACUCCCCCACU